GGAGGGGGCUAGCGUUGUUCGGAAUUACUGGGCGUAAAGGGCGCGUAGGCGGUAUGCCAUGUCAGGGGGUGAGAGGGCCUGGGGCUCAACCUAGGAACUGCCUUUGAAACUGGCAAACUAGAGUCCCGAAAGAGGAUGGCGGAAUUCCCAGUGUAGAGGUGAAAUUCGUAGAUAUUGGGAAGAACACCAGUGGCGAAGGCGGCCAUCUGGAUCGGCACUGACGCUGAGGCGCGAAAGCGUGGGGAGCAAACAGGAUUAGAUACCCUGGUAGUCCACGCCGUAAACGAUGUGUGCUAGACGUUGGGGGCCUUAGGCCCUGAGUGUCGCAGCUAACGCGUUAAGCACACCGCCUGGGGAGUACGGCCGCAAGGUUAA
rnacentral:rRNA from 1 species